rnacentral:lncRNA from 1 species
CUCUCUGGCUGCAGUCGAGUCGACGGUGUCCUCUCCUCGUCCGUCCCAGCCUACGCAUUCAUGUCGGCGACGAGAUUCACGGCGCCGUCGACGGGCGACAUGUCAUGUCAGGGGGAGGAGCGAUUAGGAAUGGCAGCAAGACCAAGGAAUGGACGCAGACUGGCCUCUUCUGACGAGUGAUGCAUGGAGCUGAUUCUAUUCUAAUCUCACGCACUGCAAGGGGGCGCCGCUCGCGAGUGCCGCGUCUCCGCUUCCCUCGCCUCUUCCAAC